rnacentral:rRNA from 1 species
CCCAGACUCCUACGGGAGGCAGCAGUGGGGGAUAUUGCACAAUGGGGGAAACCCUGAUGCAGCGACGCCGCGUGAGUGAAGAAGUAUUUCGGUAUGUAAAGCUCUAUCAGCAGGGAAGAAAAAAGACGGUACCUGACUAAGAAGCCCCGGCUAACUACGUGCCAGCAGCCGCGGUAAUACGUAGGGGGCAAGCGUUAUCCGGAUUUACUGGGUGUAAAGGGAGCGUAGACGGCAAUACAAGUCGGAAGUGAAAUACCCGGGCUCAACCUGGGAACUGCUUUGGAAACUGUAUGGCUGGAGUGCUGGAGAGGUAGGCGGAAUUCCUAGUGUAGCGGUGAAAUGCGUAGAUAUUAGGAGGAACACCAGUGGCGAAGGCGGCUUACUGGACAGUAACUGACGUUGAGGCUCGAAAGCGUGGGGAGCAAACAGGAUUAGAUACCCCAGUA